rnacentral:rRNA from 1 species
AUACGUAGGGUGCAAGCGUUAAUCGGAAUUACUGGGCGUAAAGCGUGCGCAGGCGGUUUUGUAAGACAGUGGUGAAAUCCCCGGGCUCAACCUGGGAACUGCCAUUGUGACUGCAAGGCUGGAGUGCGGCAGAGGGGGAUGGAAUUCCGCGUGUAGCAGUGAAAUGCGUAGAUAUGCGGAGGAACACCGAUGGCGAAGGCAAUCCCCUGGGCCUGCACUGACGCUCAUGCACGAAAGCGUGGGGAGCAAACAGGAUUAGAUACCCUGGUAGUCCACGCCCUAAACGAUGUCAACUGGUUGUUGGGGAUUUAUUUUCUCAGUAACGAAGCUAACGCGUGAAGUUGACCGCCUGGGGAGUACGGCCGCAAGGUUAAAACUCAAAUGAAUUGACGGGG